GUCUAUUUGUAGAUAUAAAAAGUCUAGCCUGCUCACUGAAUUAUUUUUAAGAGCCGCGGUAUUUCUGACUGUGCAAAGGUAGCAUAAUCGUUAGUUUUUUAAUUGAAAUCUUGUAUGAAUGGUUUGACAAAAAAAAGACUGUCUUUAUUAUUAUUAAUUGAAUUUAACUUUUAAGUGAAAAGGCUUAAAUAAAUUAAAAAGACGAUAAGACCCUAUAAAGCUUUAUAUUAAUUUAUUACUUAAUAAAAUUUUAUUUUAUAAAUAUUUGGUAAUGAAUUUUAUUUUAUUGGGGUGAUAAUGGUAAAAUGAUUAAUAACUGUUAAUUUCGUUAAGACAAAAAUAAAUGAGUAAAAUAAAUGAUUCAAUAAAUGAUCCUAUUUAAAGAUUUAAAGUUUAAGUUACUUUAGGGAUAACAGCGUAAUUUUUUUUGAGAGUUCUUAUCGAGAAAAAAGUUUGCGACCUCGAUGUUGAAUUAAAAUAUCUAUAUAAUUGUAGCAGUUAUAUAAGAAGGUCUGUUCGACCUUUAAAUUUUUACAUGAUUUGAGUUCAAACCGGUGUAAG
rnacentral:rRNA from 1 species